GUGGGGAAUAUUGCACAAUGGGCGAAAGCCUGAUGCAGCAACGCCGCGUGAGGGACGACGGCCUUCGGGUUGUAAACCUCUUUUAGCAGGAAAGAAGCGAAAGUGACGGUACCUGCAGAAAAAGCGCCGGCUAACUACGUGCCAGCAGCCGCGGUAAUACGUAGGGCGCAAGCGUUAUCCGGAAUUAUUGGGCGUAAAGAGCUCGUAGGCGGUCUGUCGCGUCUGCUGUGAAAACCCGAGGCUCAACCUCGGGCCUGCAGUGGGUACGGGCAGACUAGAGUGCGGUAGGGGAGAUUGGAAUUCCUGGUGUAGCGGUGGAAUGCGCAGAUAUCAGGAGGAGCACCGAUGGCGAAGGCAGAUCUCUGGGCCGUAACUGACGCUGAGGAGCGAAAGGGUGGGGAGCAAACAGGCUUAGAUACCCGAGUAGUCC
rnacentral:rRNA from 1 species